CGGGGCGAGGUGCGCGGGGGCCGGGGAUGCCCCGCGGCGAGGCCGAGGCAGCGGGCGGCUGAGUGGCCCCGCCGGCGGACACUGCUGUCCCGCCGGACCGGACCGGGCCGGGGCGGCCCCGCCACGGCGCAGGUGACAGUGGAAGAAGCUAAAGAAGAAUUUGUCUGUGUGUGUGUGUGAAUUAACACUUCAGAGAUGACUGAUCCUGAGGACCAAUCACAUGAAGGAAAAAGUUACCAUUGAGUCUAGAAGUCCUGGACAAAGUGCCUAUAGACUCUCUGAAACACAUCCAUGGAAAUGGUGCGUCAAGAAACAUUAAUAAAAGAGGAUUGCAAAUGGAUGUUUGGGUACCUAUCUUCUGUAUGGAGAAGGAUCUG